UAGGGAAUUUUCCACAAUGGACGAAAGUCUGAUGGAGCAACGCCGCGUGAACGAUGAAGGCCUUCGGGUUGUAAAGUUCUGUUGUCAGGGACGAACAAGUACCGUUCGAACAGGGCGGUACCUUGACGGUACCUGACGAGAAAGCCACGGCUAACUACGUG
rnacentral:rRNA from 1 species